UACGUAGGGGGCUAGCGUUGUCCGGAUUUAUUGGGCGUAAAGAGCGUGUGGGCGGCCAGGUAGGUCUGGUGUGAAAACUCGAGGCUUAACCUCGAGAUGUCAUCGGAAACCAUUUGGCUAGAGUCCGGAAGAGGAGAGUGGAAUUCCUGGUGUAGCGGUGAAAUGCGCAGAUAUCAGGAAGAACACCAAUGGCGAAAGCAGCUCUCUGGGACGGUACUGACGCUGAGACGCGAAAGCGUGGGGAGCGAACAGG
rnacentral:rRNA from 1 species